rnacentral:RNase_P_RNA from 1 species
ACUACAAACCGUGCUAUCGCUUCGGGUAAAACCGGGGAGGAAAGUCCGGACAGCAAAGGGCAAUGCACCGGUUAAGCGCCGGGGUGCCGCCCGCAGCAAUGCGGAACGGUACACAGACAGUGCCACAGAGAAUAACUACCAUCGGGUUGCCGGAGCUUUUGCGCAGUGCGCUGGGCCAGGGCUCCGGCAGCCCGGCGGAAAAGGUGAAAACGUGGGGUAAGAGCCCACGGCAUUGUAUGGUAACAUGCAGUGCGGGUAAACCUUGCAUGCUGAAAUGCCAUGUAUACCAGUUCAUGGAGCGGCUCGUUCCGCCCGAAGAAGUCGUCAAUGCUUUUAAAAUUUUCCUGUUGUUCGCAAUGGGUUUAUUUUUUAGGUUUUUGCAACUCUCAAGGGGACUGGGUGGGUAGGCAGCUUGAGCCCGGCAGUAAUGGCGGGCCCAGAUAAAUGAUAGCACACCUGCUUAGGCAGGUGAACAGAAUCCGGCUUACUGGUUUGUAGUUAUU